rnacentral:lncRNA from 1 species
AAGUCGGUUCGGCGAUUCGUCGAGCCGAUGCAAAGAUAUUGAAAAAAGAAACCUUCCGACAUUCGUUUCUGCCUGGAGGGCCGAUGUGGCGUCCAUAAAUCGCGGGAUAGGAUUCUGAGUGUCGUAGCAAGAAACCGAAGACCUUUAAUUUCCGGAUCGCGGAUCGGAGGUCGUUCGGUGGUCGCGCGUGGAUUGGGUCGAGCCGAGCGGCGUGCGCCGUGGGAGGCCGAUUGCGAGUGACGACGAGCUAUCGGAACGCUAUAAAAGAUGGGUGGUGACCAUCCCGAAGCAGUUGAACUGCUCCCUAUGUCUAAGUAUUAUGGUUGAUCAAUUAUGCAUAUUGAGCAUGAUGCAUUAUCGGGUGCUUAAUUAGUUGUUAUACAUUCUUGCAUGCUAAAGGUAGUGUUGUAUUACUUGUUUAACACUUGAGCCUUGUAUGCAUGAGAUUGAGAUAUGUUGAUUAGUAAUCCUAUAAUGAGAUGAUAAAUGUUGAUUUGAUCCUGGGUAGACGAAAACCUAUUGGAUGUGUAAUUAGUGUAUUGGGAACACUUAAACAAGAACGAAUGGCAUUUGAACUAGUGUAACUAUUAUGCAUAAUAGGGUAUUAAAUAGUUGCAUUUUCAUUCUUGCAUGAUCCUUAGUAGUGUAGCAACAUGAGUUUGGCACUUGACUUAGGAUGCAUGAGAAUAGGGACUUGUGACUUAGAACUCUAUAGUGGUGAAGUAAAUGAUGAACUUAAUCUUGUGUUGACGAGAACCAAAGAACGAGUGGCAUCUAGAUAAAUGAAUAACUUGACGUGUGGCAUGAUAGGUAGAGUAAAAUGGAAACACUUAUUGCAUGUUGAACUUAGGGAUGAACUAGCUCCCAAAUGAUGUUGUCUAGAGUGGUAGGGUAACCUCUGUGACGAGGAUUUGAUCACACUCAUAUGUCUGUUCAAAGCUUGGGGUGGUCGCUCCACACAAGCAGUGUAUUCCGGAGUUGUCACACGAUAGGGAUAGCCUUUUGGGUCCCGCAGACGGUCUUGGGCGAGUGAGCUGAUCCUCCCCAGGUGAGUUGGGUGAGUGAGCUGAUCCUCACCUGUGAGAUAGAGAUUGGAUUGUGGUACCUGUGNGUAGUAAACGAGCCGUUUUACUACCGAUUUGUUUUCGAUGAUAGAGCUUCCAAAUUGACAAUCGGCUCCGUUAAAUAUGAUCUAAACCAUUUAAACUAUUUAGAAAUCAAAUUUCACGCACUUUCGAUAUUGUUCUUUCAUCCAUCAAGUGAACAGAAAAAUAAAUGGCUGAAAAUGAAUACUCUUUAAAAAAUGAUGAUAGGAGUCUUGUAAUAAAGAUUAAGAGUAUAGAUCUUGUUUUAAAUAGUUUAAAGAAUUUUCUAACAAAAAUUCUUUAGAUUUGGAUAUCUUUACGCCGUUAAACGAGAAAACGCCUCUUAUCGACUAUUAAAAUUACAAAUUUUGCAACCCUUUGAUCAUUAGGUAAAUGAUGUCGAAAAGAUUUGAAAUUUUAUUUCUAAACACUUCAAGUGGUAUAGAUCAUGUUCAAUGGAGCCGAUCGUCAAUUUGGAAGUUCUAUCAUUGAAAACAAAUCGGUAGUAAAACGGCUCGUUUACUACCGAUAGUACUCUAGCUCAACUCUCUCUCUCUCUAUAUAUAGUAGAGCUACUAUGCUAUCGAAAGUAUAGAGGAUCUGGUGCUUUCGAUUUUUUGAUUCUUAGAUCAACCCCUUUAAUCAUUUCUUAUCUUUGGAUUAAUACUAUUAUUAGCUUGUAGGGAUUACUCAAUCUUAGGGGUAUUAUUUAAUCCUAGGGGGACCGCAAUCAUCCUAACCAUACAAUUCUUAAUCAAAGGGUCAAAAAUUCAAAAACAUCAAAUCCUCUAUAUUUUCGAUAGCAUAGUAGUUGUACACUAUAUAUAUAUAUAUUAAAAAAUAUAAAAAUAUAAUAUAUUUUAAUUAUAUAUAGGUUGAGUGAAUAAUCUGAGUUUAGUUAAAAUUGGGCCAAUGUUGUUGGCCCAUAAAAAUAAACCCAAUAGACAAAUAAAAGAGCAAAAUUUCACUAAAUUGAUAUAUUUUUCCUUUCUUUCUUUUUUUCACAGAGCUCUAAAUUUUCAAUAUGUUUCUCUCUUUCUUUUUUCUGUCUCUCACCCUAAGUGGCCAAGCCGGAAACCAUCCAAGUUACCAAGUAACAACAUAUGCCCGCCGUUGCCUACCUUGCUAUUAAUUGUAUGCUUGAAAAAAUAUACAGAAUAUUUUUAAAAUAAAAAUUAUUAUUCAUAUAAAAUUUAAAUUUAGUUAUAUAUAAUUGGAUAGUUUAAUCCAAUAUUUAUCUAUAUAAUUUAUUUAUUUUUGACUGCAUAAAUAAAAAUGAAUAAUAUGGAGAUUGAAAGUGGAAGAAAAGAUAUGUGAGGCUGAAAAGAUUAGAUAUUCAACUCAUAAAUUAUUUUUUCUCAUAUUACAAUACUAUAUUUCAUAUAAUUAUUUUGUACUUUGAAUUAUUAGACAUAUUUUUGUAUCAAAUUACAGAUAAUGUUCUAUACAAAUUAAACUAUUAAUCGAUGUUGAGAAUUUCAAGUGGCUCGUUUACGGCUCGAGCUCGCUCGACUCGAAAUUAGGCUCGCUCGAGCUCGGCUCGAAUUAAUUUCAAUCCAAGCUUGAGCUUAAAUUUAGGCUCGAAAUUAAUUUCAAGCCGAAUNCUAUUAAUUGUAUGCUUGAGAAAAUAUACAGAAUAUUUUUAAAGUAAAAAAUUAUUAUUCAUAUAAAAUUUUAAUUUUAGUUAUAUAUGAUUGGAUAGUUUAAUCCAAUAUUUAUCUAUAUAAUUUAUUUAUUUUUGACUGCAUAAAUGAAAAUGAAUAAUAUGGAGAUUGAAAGCGGAAGAAAAGACAUGUGAGGCUGAAAAGAUUAGAUAUUCAACUCAUAAAUUUUUUCCUCAUAUUAUUCAUUUUUAUUUAUGCAGUCAAAAAUAAAUAAAUUAUAUAGGAGAUUGAAAGUGGAAGAAAAGAUAUGUGAGGCUGAAAAGAUUAGAUAUUCAACUCAUAAAUUAUUUUUUCUCAUAUUACAAUACUAUAUUUCAUAUAAUUAUUUUGUACUUUGAAUUAUUAGACAUAUUUUUGUAUCAAAUUACAGAUAAUGUUCUAUACAAAUUAAACUAUUAAUCGAUGUUGAGAAUUUCAAGUGGCUCGUUUACGGCUCGAGCUCGCUCGACUCGAAAUUAGGCUCGCUCGAGCUCGGCUCGAAUUAAUUUCAAUCCAAGCUUGAGCUUAAAUUUAGGCUCGAAAUUAAUUUCAAGCCGAAUUUGAGCCGAGGUAAGCUUGCUCGAGCUCGGCUUUAAUUUCCGGAUCGCGGAUCGGAGGUCGUUCGGUGGUCGCGCGUGGAUUGGGUCGAGCCGAGCGGCGUGCGCCGUGGGAGGCCGAUUGCGAGUGACGACGAGCUAUCGGAACGCUAUAAAAGAUGGGUGGUGACCAUCCCGAAGCAGUUGAACUGCUCCCUAUGUCUAAGUAUUAUGGUUGAUCAAUUAUGCAUAUUGAGCAUGAUGCAUUAUCGGGUGCUUAAUUAGUUGUUAUACAUUCUUGCAUGCUAAAGGUAGUGUUGUAUUACUUGUUUAACACUUGAGCCUUGUAUGCAUGAGAUUGAGAUAUGUUGAUUAGUAAUCCUAUAAUGAGAUGAUAAAUGUUGAUUUGAUCCUGGGUAGACGAAAACCUAUUGGA